UACUGGCUUGAGAUUCAAAAUAAAAUAAACCAAAAAUUUUAGAAAUUAUAUUAGUCUAGAAAGAUAGUAUUGUGUCUCUUUGUCUUUUUAGUACCUAGCACAUAUCAGGUACUUGAUACAUAUUUAUCAUAUGAAUGCAAUGGUUGUAAUGAACAACUGGGAAGGAAAUGCAAAAGCAGAAGGCACCAUAUUUGUGUUGCUAUUCCUGGGUGUCAUUUCUAUGUAACUUGUGAUAACCAGUAGUAAAGAACAACAUGGACUAUGUUUAAUAGACAACAACUAAUUUUAUUGGAUUUGUGUACAUAAUCUGAAAUUUAGUCUAAGGACAAGCCAUAUUACUAUAAAUUCCAGGAAAUCUAGAGAGAAAAAAUGGGCAAUUUAGAACAGACUAGAAGAGUAACUCUUUCAGUUUGUCUGGAAAACCGAAUCUAAGGAAUAAGGUCAGUUUGCAGUUUCUUUCAAGUAGAAUUGGUGACUCUUGGAUGCAGUUUAUAAACACGUAACACAUUUUCCUUGCAUGGAAAUAUAUCUAUUCUAUGACCUCUUCUACAUGAAGAAAAGAUUUGAAAUUUUCUUCUCCAUUAAAUAAUGUUUUGUGUGCAUGUUGCAAAAAUAAGAGAGAAGCAAGAAUAACUCUAGCAGAUGCUUAAAGGUUUAAGAUUAAAGACACAUGUAAAUGUGAUUCAUAGUGGGUGUUCUGUGCACUUGAGUGAAUAUUCCCAAAUCACAGCUAGAAAAAUUUAGGAGUAAAUUGACUUAACUUAUGGUAAAUCAAUAGGGGUCCCUGAAUUGGAGGGAAACAGAUGAGCAAGAAAAAAAUUAUUUGACAGGACUCCACUAAGGAAAACAACAUUCAAGUAACAGAUGAGGUAUUCUACUGCCCAGAGGAAUUACCCAGCCUUUAGCAAGGCGAAGUCAGCCUCAACUGGCAGGAGGUUUGUUUUAAAACUGAAAUGAGAAAAAGGAUCUGGGCUUACAAAUGAUGGGAAGAUAUAUUAUCAACAGGGAAAAAAACCCCCAGAAAAUAGCAACUAACUUGUUUCCCCAGCACAACUGAAAGGAUGAAGAAGGAAAACAAUUUAAUGUACCCUGGUCAUGCAGUUACUUUCCUUUAUCCUUACUAACAGUGCUUGUCAAGAUGGUUCUGGAAACUGAAUAAAUUGUUAUUAACUAAAUUCUAAAAGCUUCAUAUAAUCAUCUGAUACAUACAUCACAUCAAUUUCAGCCUAGGCUCUCUAUGGUGGCAAAUUAUUUCAGCACUAAAUCAUGAAGGCUGGAUUCUUGAAGCCUGGCAGAGGCAAAUGUCUCAUUAAUGCUGAUCUGAGAGACAUCUGUGAUGAGCCUGAACAUCAGGCCAAUCUGCAGAGCUGAUCAGGGGCUGCUGAGUGGUUCUGAAGUGAGUCAGGCUGUGAAUGAAGACUCCACCAGAAUGAGGAGAAUUCCAUGCAUGGAGAUUCAAAUAAAGACAAAAGGGAGAUGCAACUAUGGAGGCUGAGAAGUCCCACCAUCGGAGCGCCUCUGCCCCGCCGCCCCAUCUGGGAUGUGAGGAGCGCCUCUGCCCGGCCGAGACCCCGUCUGGGAGGUGAGGAGCGUCUCUGCCCGGCCGCCCCGUCUGAGAAGUGAGGAGACCCUCUGCCUGGCAACCACCCCGUCUGAGAAGUGAGGAGCCCCUCCGCCCGGCAGCUGCCCCGUCUGAGAAGUGAGGAGCCUCUCCGCCCGGCAGCCACCCCAUCUGGGAAGUGAGGAGCGUCUCCGCCCGGCAGCCACCCCGUCCGGGAGGGAGGUGGGGGGGGGUCAGCCCCCC
rnacentral:lncRNA from 1 species